CAAUAAUAAUUAUUACUGAUUAGUGGCUAGACAUUUAGUUUACAGAAAUUUUGUAAUUUCACACAAAUACUCAAUGUAUUAUAUCAUGGUUUUCAAAACUGACAUAUAAUAAUAUGAUGUUAGUACCUACGAGGAACUAGGAAGUCCAGCAAAUGUAUUGACAAUUUUUGAUAAGUCUAUUUUAUUUAAGACAAUUCUACAGAGCUAGUAUACAUUAUAAAUAUUGCAAUUCAAGUUAUAAAAACAUUAAUAUUAAAGUGAAUACUAAAACUUAAAAGGUAAUAUAUUGCGGAACCAGUAUCUAAUUUUAAUAGCACGGAGCAUCUGAACAUAUUUAAAUUUCAAAGAACACAUAACAAGUUUGGAAAUUUAGUGUUCUGACAAUUGGAUGUGAUUCAUUUUGGGACAUUGCUGUCAGCAAAAGAGGGUUUCCAAGUUCCAGAUAAAAUAGGAUAUCAAUGUAUAACAUUGUCUACUCAAUUAUGUUUUCUUCAGUUCAUACAUAUAUUUCGUCAUUGGCCAUUGCCAGUUUCAGAUAGAUGAAAUUACUCUACUGAAUAAUGAUGAAUUUUAAUAAUAAUUUUAUCAUUUUUGAAAUGAAUUAUGAUUGCGAGGAAUGAAACAUUAAAUUAUUGUUAAGAU